UUUUCGCAUCAUAAUAGGAUUCUUGAAACUAAUUUUUAGAUCAAGCCCAAGAACAAAGAUAACUUUGCCCUGGCGGGCGGAUCCCCUUUGAAACCCAUUAACAACAUUCGACCCGAAAGGACGUCGUUGAAGUCGCCUUCCCCAAUAAGUAAUACUGUAAUAACCACUUCGUCUAACCAGAAAAGAAAACAGUCCGGCGAAUACCAACUCUUUCCGACCAAAGUUCCGGCGAAGAAAACUAUCUAGUUGCACGUCACUGAGCUCUUUUCAAAUUUCACCUAUGAAUAAGAAGUUCGGGGGAGGGAAACUGCCGACCGGCACUCCCUCGCUGGCUUGGUCCAGCGUCGUCGUCGUCGCUUCGCUUCUCGCCGGAGCCUCCGUCGUCCACAAUCUCUACAAACCCGAUCUCUCAUUGCCGCCGGUGGAUGGUGUUGAUGUGAAGAAAGAAUGAAAUUGCUCACCUUCAGUAUUGGCUAUGUUUCGAUUCGAGUUGUAAUUGCUCUACGACUAUUUCUGUUCCGCAUUUAUUUCUCCGAUUACUAUAGCUUUGGUGAUGCGAACGAGUAUUGAAGAGACAAUUCUAUGCAAGUACCAAGUCAUCAUUUGUGUAACUUUCAGAAAGUCAGCUAAUAUACAUAAUAAGAAGAACUAGUAAAAUAUGAUUGCAGAACAUGUUGACAUCUUCAGAGCUUCUAAGCAAGAUUAUGAGUUACAGCUAAAGCUGAGUUUGGUGGAUGCUUGAGCAUUAGUC